UACGAAGGGGGCUAGCGUUGUUCGGAAUUACUGGGCGUAAAGCGCGCGUAGGCGGCUUUGCAAGUCGGGUGUGAAAUCCCCAGGCUUAACCUGGGAACUGCAUUCGAGACUGCAUUGCUAGAGUAUGGGAGAGGGAAGUGGAAUUUCAGGUGUAGCGGUGAAAUGCGUAGAGAUCGGGAGGAACAUCUGUGGCGAAGGCGGCCAUCUGGACCAGCACUGACACUGAGGCACGAAAGCGUGGGGAGCAAACAGG
rnacentral:rRNA from 1 species